rnacentral:rRNA from 1 species
CCCCGGUAAACGGCGGCCGUAACUAUAACGGUCCUAAGGUAGCGAAAUUCCUUGUCGGGUAAGUUCCGACCUGCACGAAUGGCGUAAUGAUGGCCACGCUGUCUCCACCCGAGACUCAGUGAAAUUGAAAUCGCUGUGAAGAUGCAGUGUACCCGCGGCUAGACGGAAAGACCCCGUGAACCUUUACUACAGCUUGGCACUGAACAUUGAACCUACAUGUGUAGGAUAGGUGGGAGGCUUUGAAGACGUGACGCCAGUUGCGUUGGAGCCGUCCUUGAAAUACCACCCUUGUAUGUUUGAUGUUCUAACGUUGGCCCCUAAUCGGGGUUGCGGACAGUGCCUGGUGGGUAGUUUGACUGGGGCGGUCUCCUCCCAAAGAGUAACGGAGGAGCACGAAGGUGGGCUAAUCACGGUUGGACAUCGUGAGGUUAGUGCAAUGGCAUAAGCCCGCUUAACUGCGAGAAUGACGGUUCGAGCAGGUGCGAAAGCAGGUCAUAGUGAUCCGGUGGUUCUGAAUGGAAGGGCCAUCGCUCAACGGAUAAAAGGUACUCCGGGGAUAACAGGCUGAUACCGCCCAAGAGUUCAUAUCGACGGCGGUGUUUGGCACCUCGAUGUCGGCUCAUCACAUCCUGGGGCUGAAGUCGGUCCCAAGGGUAUGGCUGUUCGCCAUUUAAAGUGGUACGCGAGCUGGGUUUAGAACGUCGUGAGACAGUUCGGUCCCUAUCUGCCGUGGGCGUUGGAAGAUUGAAGGGGGCUGCUCCUAGUACGAGAGGACCGGAGUGGACGAACCUCUGGUGUUCGGGUUGUGUCGCCAGACGCAUUGCCCGGUAGCUAAGUUCGGAAUCGAUAACCGCUGAAAGCAUCUAAGCGGGAAGCGAGCCCUGAGAUGAGUCUUCCCUGAUACUUUAAGUAUCCUAAAGGGUUGUUCGAGACUAGAACGUUGAUAGGCAGGGUGUGUAAGCGCUGUGAGGCGUUGAGCUAACCUGUACUAAUUGCCCGUGAGGCUUAACCAUACAACACCC